rnacentral:pre_miRNA from 1 species
UUUUGAGUAUAAAUAUGUUCCAUGCAAUUUUUAGGAUAUACUUAUACUCAAA